rnacentral:sRNA from 1 species
CACGUGGUAAACACGUGACAGCAGCCUCGUC